UACGUAGGGUGCAAGCGUUAUUCGGAAUUAUUGGGCGUAAAGGGCGCGUAGGCGGCCUGGCAAGUGGAAGGUGAAAUCCCUCGGCUUAACCGAGGAACUGCCCUCCAAACUGCUUGGCUUGAGACCGGGAGAGGUGAGUGGAAUUCCCAGUGUAGCGGUGAAAUGCGUAGAUAUCGUAAGGAAGACCAGUGGCGAAGGCGGGUCUCUGGACAGUUCCUGACGUGAGGCACGAAGGUCAGGGGAGCAAAACGGGG
rnacentral:rRNA from 1 species